GCAAGUCGAACGGGCUCACAUUGAAACCUAGUGAUGUAUGAGUUAGUGGCGGACGGGCGAGUAACGCGUGGAGAACCUGCCGUAUACUGGGGGAUAACACUUAGAAAUAGGUGCUAAUACCGCAUAAGCGCACAGCUUCGCAUGAAGCAGUGUGAAAAACUCCGGUGGUAUACGAUGGAUCCGCGUCUGAUUAGCUGGUUGGCGGGGUAACAGCCCACCAAGGCGACGAUCAGUAGCCGGCCUGAGAAGGUGAACGGCCACAUUGGGACUGAGACACGGCCCAAACUCCUACGGGAGGCAGCAGUGGGGAAUAUUGCACAAUGGGGGAAACCCUGAUGCAGCGACGCCGCGUGAGUGAAGAAGUAUUUCGGUAUGUAAAGCUCUAUCAGCAGGGAAGAAAUACUGACCUUACGGUCAGCAGACGGUACCUGACUAAGAAGCCCCGGCUAACUACGUGCCAGCAGCCGCGGUAAUACGUAGGGGGCAAGCGUUAUCCGGAUUUACUGGGUGUAAAGGGAGCGUAGACGGCAGCGCAAGUCUGAAGUGAAAUCCCAUGGCUUAACCAUGGAACUGCUUUGGAAACUGUGCAGCUAGAGUGCAGGAGAGGUAAGCGGAAUUCCUAGUGUAGCGGUGAAAUGCGUAGAUAUUAGGAGGAACACCAGUGGCGAAGGCGGCUUACUGGACUGUAACUGACGUUGAGGCUCGAAAGCGUGGGGAGCAAACAGGAUUAGAUACCCUGGUAGUCCACGCCGUAAA
rnacentral:rRNA from 1 species